GUGGAUUAGAUACCCUGGUAGUCCUAGCCCUAAACGGUGCACGUUUGCUGUAAAAGGAAUCGACCCCUUUUGUGGCGAAGCUAACGCGAUAAACGUGCCGCCUGGGGAGUACGGUCGCAAGAUUAAAACUCAAAGAAAUUGACGGGGGCCUGCACAAGCGGUGGAGUAUGUGGCUUAAUUCGAUGCAACGCGAAGAACCUUACCUGGCCUUGACAUGCAAGUGGUAGAACCAUGAAAGUGGGACGAUCCCGCAAGGGAAGCUUGCACAGGUGCUGCAUGGCUGUCGUCAACU
rnacentral:rRNA from 1 species